rnacentral:rRNA from 1 species
AUUUGCCCCAAUCAGCUCGGGCGCUCCGCACCCAAUCACCCGCGUCUCGCGGCUCUUGCCCCACCCCAGCCACCAAACAUGGAACCCUAGCCUCCUUUCUCCUUCCCCUCGACCCCCACGAGCCACUGCACCCCUCCCUCUCCCUUCCGUGCGUGUGCUCGGCCAAGGACGCCGCCGUCGCCCUCGGCUCCUCCUCCACCACCUCGCCUUUUUCUCCUCCUCGCCUUCCCAUCGCUCGCGUGCAUGUCGCCGCCGUCGGAGAACAGGAUUGUGCGGGUCGCUUCCUCCUUUUCCUCCCGCCGGAUCUAAGGCGUGCGGUCGUGGAGCCGAGCCUCUCCGGUGGCGGCGGCAAAGGGUGACCACAUGGAUCGGUCCUUGCAGGAGAGAGAGAGAGAUGCGAGAGAGGGAGAGAAUGAAGGAGAGGAGGGAGGCCCGGCAGCGACGGGAGAGGGUCACCGACCGGCGCCGGCGAGGUCAGGUGCGACCUGGUGGUUGGUGGUGGCUUGAUCCACUCCUGGAUCCUUCUUCCACUUCUCCACUGCCUAAUAUGGGGCACCGGUCAGGGAGCACGGGAUCGAUGUUCUGCGGCUCGAGGUUUGCUUCCUUUCUGAGAAGAAGCAGGAGCAAAGCAUAUGCUUGCUCUUCCAUGGUGAGUUUGGAGUUUACCCUCUGUCCCUGGAAGUUGAAAUUGGCUAUCAUGCAAGCGAUGGCCUUUUCUUAGCCAUGGAAUACAAAGGAAGCUACAAAAUUGUCAUAUCGCAUUUUCUUGAGAUAUCCGUCAAGGGAAUCUGAUUGUACCCAAAUGUGAUAGGUCCCACUCUUCGGCAGCUUGAAUUCGAAGUUGUAGUGGCUAAACAAGAUUAGGAUCAUGUUUAUGAUGGGUUUUCCAUCGAUACAGAGGAUGUAUGCAUAUAUGUUACUGGCUAGCAUGAUACUGUUAGCGGAAGCUGUAGUGCUUUUUAUGGUCGACGGUGGCAUGCCGCUCCAAGCCACACUGCUUUCCAUCAACGCCGACAACCACAACAGGGAUGGAUCCAGCCGCCAAGAGGCACGGCGGUGGCCUGCUCCCAAGCUGCAGGUGAGAACGUGACACGGCGGUGGCUGGUUUGCAUAAAUAUUGAUCAAUGUGUUCUGAGAAUAUUUUGUGAGGUAUCAUGAUUGGCAUAUCACAGGUUGCUAGAGCUGUUCAAGCAGAUGCGUGCGUUCUACUUUUGUUACUUAGUUUAGUUUGAAUAGGUACCGUAACAAGGCUAGGUUCAGUAACUAUUUUUUUGCUUUUUUGCAUAACGUCUGAAUCAAAUGCUCAAGUUAGUAUGCAUUGGUUAACAAUGGCAGGGUCAUUGUGGUGCCUGUUGGGCCUUUAGUGUUGUGGCAAUGCUGGGGCCAAACUAGAUUUCAUAAAGAAAGGUAGAUGAAGAAUCUAUCGGAAGAUUUUGUUAAAUGAAACUUGCAUUUUGAUGUUAUGAGCGUAAAAAUAUAUUUUGCAUUUUUAGGAAAUAAGAUAAUAGGACCAGCUAAAGGAAAACUUUGGUUAAAAUAUUGCUUUAUUUGUUUGUGCAACCAGGCUUAUUUGGUUCUCAUCGAAAGAUAACUGGACCAGCUAAAGGAGAACUUUUCUGAACUAUUUCUUUAUUUGUUUGUGCAACCAGGCUUAUUUGGUUCUGAUCGGAAGAUAAUUGGACCAGCUAAAGGAGAACUUUCCUGAACUAUUUCUUAUUUGUUUGUGCAACCAGGAUUAUUUGGUUCUGAUCAGAAGAUAAUUGGACUAGCUAAAGGAGAACUUUGCUGAACUAUUUCUUUAUUUGUUGGUGUAACCAUGCUUAUUUGCUUCUGAUAAUUGGACCGGCUAAAGAAGAACUUUGCUGAACUAUUUCUUUAUUUGUUUGUGCAACCAGGCUUAUUUGGUUCUGAUCGGUUUCUUGCCUAGGUUGUAUAAUGUCUCCUCUCUGCUCUCGUUCCCUCCUUACCUUCACCCAUCUUCAGGCGCAAAUGGAGCUGCGGCAGUGACGUCAUCACCUGAAAUCAGGUUUCCCUCUCAGGUGGGGAGGGACAGAUGUGGCUGCAUCAACGAAGUGACAGAAGAAGGCUGCGUUGGUUGUACUCCGGGCACUGCCGCCUCCAUCCCUGCUCCAUCAGGUUUUCUAUUAAAGGGAAUUAAACCAUGGAUAUUUUUUCAUCACAUACAUGGAUUUAUCGUGCCUCUGCGCCAUUUGGCUCAACGGGUCAUCAGACACGAUCACAACAUCAUAUAUAUUGAGUGACUAUGAACUUCGAUACAGACAAAAAAGAAAGAUCAUGAACAAUAAAAUAUAUAUUUGCUCAAAUUUUUGUUUUCAAUGGCAAGCAAAUAAUUUGUUUACUUAGGAAAUGAUGUUUCAUGUCACACACACCAAAGUAAGAAACAGAUUCCUUCCUCUUUACUUGCAGAGAUCAACAAAUUAUUGCGCUUACCUGAUACAAUUAUUUUCUUUUGUUUGGAGCGUUCCCUGUGAUCGUCAGGGAUAUCCUGCAGAACAAUACGGAAAUCCAUCAUCGGCAAAAAUAUCGAGUAGAAAUCAAGCACGCGUAAUAGGAGUGCAUAUGGACGAUCUGUCUACUCUCUGGUCUAUUUUUAAACAGACAUGUUGGCCUUUUCUUACAUAAUCAGCCUACUGUUUCUAUUCCUCGCAGGUCAUUUCACUUUCUGUCAAUAGGCAUUGAUCUCCAUGUUAACUUGGUGUAAGGUAGUCUUGACGAUGUGUUGAGGCGGUCUGCUCAGUGACCGUUAGUAAGGUUGCUCAUCGGCAAGCGAAAGAGCUUUGUGCAUUCUUGCAUGGUUAAGGAAGAAUUUGUUAUUUGAAGUAUGCACUACAGAUAUUGCAAGUCUACUUCAGUAAUGCUGUGGCAUGCCGCAAAACAACCACAUUUUGCUGCUGUGAUUUGGUCCAUCCUGUGCAUUUCAGUUCCUGGUGAUCUCCAAUGUUUGUCAGCUAAUGCCACCAGGAGGGCUGCCCACCCAAGACUUGUAAUGUGGGCAUCGGUACUGUCCUUUGACAUAUUUGGAAGUCACUGUCGUUUCAACUCCGUCAGGUGCCAGGCCAAGGAUGUUACUCAUCGCUGCUGUGAAGACCUUGCGGUGUGGUGUCGGUCGUUCACAUCUUAUACUAGAAUAUAUAAACUGAGCAUCAUGUCUGCAUCCAUGCUAUUUUUUGGUUUUCUUUAAUCUAACCACCAAUAGUAUGAUAUAUAGGAUCUCUGGACAAACAACCACAAUGGGAGCAUUGUUUGGUGCAGCACUAACAAUAGCCACUACAAUGACCAGUGAAGCUACAAAUUAACAGCUGGAGCAAGGAAAAGGACCUUCGAGAGUAUGGAAUAAUGAAUACAAUGAUAAUCUGACACCUAAUAAGGAUCAAGAGAACAACAGAGAUGCUAAGAGGCAACAUUUUGGGUUUAAGGAUAUAAACAACAUGGCUUACGAGGAUUUGGACUGCUGUUAUUUUAGUUCCACUCUUAAAUAUUUUGGUUCUUGAAGGCCUGACUUUCCUGGUGGAGUAGGAGCAAAAUAAUCCAGAGGCUUUAAAGCUGCUGCACUUUAGUAGUUAGGAUCAAUUCUUUGUUUUGGUUUGAAAUGCUCCCCAAUUCCUCCUAUUUGAUUGAUUCAUCUGAUGGUCAUUUGUCAGGCAAAUAAACAGAAGGCAUAUGUAUUGUUUUGAGUGAAGCCAUCCAUACAAGUCGAUAUAUUAAUUAUCCCAUAUGUGGAAUUCAAGAUAUAGAGAAAUGUUAUUGUUCUUCUGCUAAUUGGUUGCUUGACCAAAUGUACUAUAAAUGAUGUUAUUAUUGUACCAGAUAUAGAGAAA